CGCCUCCUGCAGUGUUCGAUGCUGAUCUGGAAACCUUUCGACCCUAACUUUUCAUUUCGGGGUCAUGCACUGUCGGCAACAUAUGAGCAAGGCUGCGUAAGCGGUAAGCCUUUUGUUGUCACGGCUAGCCCCACCUGUUGCUCCGGUUCGAGAGCGACGGUCAGUAACGGCACAGGCGGGAGGCGC
rnacentral:sRNA from 1 species